CGAAAUCGGUAGACGCUACUGGACUUAAAAUCCGUCGAUUUAAGAAAUCGUGAGGGUUCAAGUCCCUCUAUCCCC
rnacentral:tRNA from 1 species